rnacentral:rRNA from 1 species
UACAGAGGUCCCAAGCGUUGUUCGGAUUCAUUGGGCGUAAAGGGUGCGUAGGUGGCGCCGUAAGUCGGGUGUGAAAUCUCGGGGCUUAACUCCGAAACUGCAUUCGAUACUGCGGUGCUUGAGGACUGGAGAGGAGACUGGAAUUUACGGUGUAGCGGUGAAAUGCGUAGAGAUCGGAAGGAAGACCAGUGGCGAAGGCGGGUCUCUGGACAGUUCCUGACACUGAGGCACGAAGGCCAGGGGAGCAAACGGG